GAAAAAGGACGGAAGGGCGACGGCGGUACGAUUUGGAAAGAAAGUGAGCGAUGGCGGUGGAGGCGCAAUUCUAACGGUGAAGAGGUGGCCGUCGGUGUUGGGUUUGAGGGGAAGAGAGGAGGUGGUGCGGUGGUAGUUGAUUUGGAGGUUGUGGCUCGGUGGUGAUGGGAAAAGAGGAGGUGGUGGCGGCGCUGAGUGGGGCUGUGGAGGUGGCCAUGCGGUGGUGGGGAUCAGGGCCG
rnacentral:lncRNA from 1 species